rnacentral:rRNA from 1 species
UACGAAGGGGGCUAGCGUUGCUCGGAAUCACUGGGCGUAAAGCACACGUAGGCGGCUUUUUAAGUCGGGGGUGAAAUCCUGGAGCUCAACUCCAGAACUGCCUUCGAUACUGAGGAGCUUGAGUCCGGGAGAGGUGAGUGGAACUGCGAGUGUAGAGGUGAAAUUCGUAGAUAUUCGCAAGAACACCAGUGGCGAAGGCGGCUCACUGGCCCGGUACUGACGCUGAGGUGCGAAAGCGUGGGGAGCAAACAGG